rnacentral:misc_RNA from 1 species
UAACCCCUCAAGCUCAGCUUGGUGUUGGGGCCUGCCAACUGGCAGCCCUUAAAAUCAGUGGCGGCGCCAUCUGGCUCUAAGCGUAGUAAUUUCUCUCGCUAUAGGGUCCCGGUGGAUGCUUGCCAACAACCCCCAAUUUUCUAU